CAACCCACUCCAGUGUUCUUGCCUGGAGAAUCCCAAGGAUGGUAGAGCCUGGUGGGCUGCCGUCUAUGGGGUCGCACAGAGUCGGACAUGACUGAAGCGACUUAGCAGCAGGUGUAAAGAUAUUUUGAGCACAGUGGUUUAAAUGCUAAUAAACUUCUGAAACAGGACACUAAUAUUAUUAAAUAGUUAAUAAAUAUCAACAGAUUUUUUUUUCCAGAACUGCAGUUUGAUUCUAGGGCUGGAAAGUAAGGCAAAAUUAUUAAAUGUUUUACCCAAAUGUUAGAGUCUAGGAUCUAUGAGAAAUUCAGAUCCAUAGAUUUCCAGAAAUGGCAGUACUGACUAUUUUAACUAAAAGGCAUGAGAAUUCGACAACUCAAUUUGCAUUUUAAAAGGUUUAUUUUUAAAGCCAGGCUCUUACUUGCUAUUACAUAACAUACGUACACCUGAAACUGCUUUGGGGAUUAAAAUUAUACAUUUUAUAUAGUAUCCCCUUUAAAAAAAUUAGCUGUGUUGUUCUACCAAAAGAAAGCAGAUGUUGGAUUUCACUCUCUGAUGGUAAUUAGUUUGAUCUUUCAGCCAAGGUCCAUAAGUUGGCUUUAUAUGAGGAAAAUAAGGGAGAGGAAGGAUGAAAUUUCAUAUUUAGUCACUGAAAAUAAGCCUGAGAAUAACCAGACCUAUUGCUCUCUUUACAAUCCAAAGCUCAUGCUCCAGAAAUGAAUGGGUGUAGCAAGUCUGACUUUUGACCUACUAAGCACAAAAAAUUAAGCAGUUGCCAAAUUCUCUGGCCAGGUAGGAGCAGUACAUAAUAUUGAAAUAAACGACACCCAUGUACACAAGUAAUAACCACAAGCUCUUUAAACGCAUAGAUAUUUAGGCAAAAAUAGUCACAACCAACAAGGGCCUGAAUCCUGGAAAAUACAGUGAUUACUCCAAGAACUUUGCAGAGGAAAAAAUGUGUUCGCAGCACAGCCAGGAACCAAGAGAGUCAUCAGCACUGCAGGAGGAAGGCAGCUUCAGGGAAAUGCUAAUCCUUCAUAGGCAACUGGAGGGGAAGACUAAAAAGUGGUGAUGAUGAAUGACAAUAAUCCUUUGUCCACUGCCACCUCCUCCUAGGGUUGAAACUUAAGAGUUUAAUCAAAUGUUGCAUCACUGUGAGGGAGGCUGCAUUUUUCAUUCCAGUUCCGCUAACAUCUGAGUGGCUACUCCAUGCCAGGACUGCUGUGCUGGCCGCUCGGACAGUCAUCUCCUUUAACCCUUAUGACAUCCUGCAAAUAGCAAAGAUCUGCCAACUGCCUGGAUGCUUCUUAUAUUCCCAAAGAACAGGAUCAAUUGAUUCUACUUGUUUUUAUUUUUUAUGCUUUUCAUACCAUUCUGGGGUUCUCAAGGCAAGAAUACUGAAGUGGUUUGCCAUUCCUUUCUCCAGUGGACCACAUUUUGUCAGAUCUCUCCACCGU